rnacentral:rRNA from 1 species
UACGGGGGGGGCAAGCGUUGUUCGGAAUUAUUGGGCGUAAAGAGCUCGUAGGCGGUGUGUCACGUCGUUCGUGAAAACCUGCAGCUUAACUGUGGGCGUGCGGUCGAUACGGGCAUCACUGGAGUUCGGCAGGGGAGACUGGAAUUCCUGGUGUAGCGGAGAAAUGCGCAGAUAUCAGGAGGAACACCGGUGGCGAAGGCGGGUCUCGGGGCCGAUACUGACGCUGAGGAGCGAAAGCGUGGGGAGCAAACAGG